rnacentral:rRNA from 1 species
CACGCAGUAAACGAUGAUAACUCGUUGUCGGCGAUACACAGUCGGUGACUAAGCGAAAGCGAUAAGUUAUCCACCUGGGGAGUACGUUCGCAAGAAUGAAACUCAAAGGAAUUGACGGGGGCCCGCACAAGCGGAGGAACAUGUGGUUUAAUUCGAUGAUACGCGAGGAACCUUACCCGGGCUUGAAAGUUACUGACGAUUCUGGAAACAGGAUUUCCCUUCGGGGCAGGAAACUAGGUGC